AAGAGCCUCAGUAUUUCAGUACAAUCUAAAUAGACUGCAACAAGAAAGGUUGCAAAUGCACAGUCAUUGCCAUAGUGGAGUUUUCUGGCUGUUAGUAAUCAUUGCUUGUUUUGAAAUUUUAAGCAACUUUGGAGAAGACCUCCUUUCAAGCUGUGAGCAGAACUUCUCCACUCUUGAAUAUCACAGAAAAUGAGUGAUCUCAUUAAGAGAUUUUACUAAAUUGCUGUCCUCGUUUCUUUAGAAAGGGAGGAAAAUGUGCUUUUCAGAUCUUAAUAGGUUGUGCAUAGCUCUUCUGAAUGAAAAAAUGAGUGUGGGGCUAAUGAUAAUCCUGAAAUGCAGAUUUAUUUAUUUAAGUCUUUCUGUCAAUGAUUAUCAUGGCCUGGUAAUUCCACGAAGCACUGCUGCAUGGAGAACUUGCAUUAGUGUGCUAUGGUGGUGUAAGUAAAGAAGACUGCAUCCUGCCUCUUGGGGUUUUUAUCUCCUAGAUAGUUUUGGGAGUCAAGAACAUACAUGGAAAGGAGCCCCAGAAACCUGUGAGAGCAGGCCUUCUUUUAUUCAACAGCUAUUUACUGAAGAUCUACUAUGUGCCAGACACUGUUCCAGGGAGAUAGCAUUUCCUGCAGCAAACAGCUUGGGGAAGGGCCUUUUUUUCUGUCCUUGAUGACAUCUCACUGAAGAUGGAGGGACCUCAGUCACUAGAAUCCCAUCUGUCAAGGUAUGCCUACAGAAAUCCUGCCAGCAGCCUGCAGGAAGGAGUGCAGAGUAGGUGGAGGGCAGGGAAAAUGUCAUGGGAAGGGCAAGUAACUUUCUUAUUCUCUCAACAGUAUUGUGAGCCUCUCCACAGAAAGCAUUUUUAUUUCAUUGCUAUAAAAACACCUCCUGGGAGAAGGAAAAAGUUCAGGUUUUGAUUGGUUCUUCUCAACUUGGAUAGAAUUUUCAGUUUGUUAUUAGGAUAGCAAAUUUAUACACAAUGUGUACAAUACAAAUCCCCAUAUCAACACUGAAGUCAAGGGCUUUACUCUUGCUAAUAAUGGUCUGCAAAGAUUGACUUUUUACUGAAUGACAAGAUCAAACUUUAUUCUGCAUAGUGAUACAGUGCUGAACAAUAAUCUAUGGACUCAUGGACAUUAAGAUUUCAAUCCUGGCUCUGAUGUUACUAAAUCGUUUUGGUCAAUUUACUUUAGAUCCCCAGAUCUGUUACUCUUUAUAAUAAAAAGUGGUAGUGAUACUACUAUACAGAGUCAUUCUGAGGAUUGUUUGAGAUGAAGACAAUAUAGUUUAGCACAGUGCUUGGUAUUUAAUAAAUAAGUAUUUAAAAAUACACUUGUCUCACUUAAUCAAGGAGAAGAACUAAAACUAUUUUAUAAUAUAAGUCGAGUCUCCUUGAAAUUAAAUUGUCCCAUACUACGAUGAUCCAGGUAUAUUAUAGAAAACAACUAUAACCAAUUAGUUUCUGGCUUUUAUGUACUACUUUGAAAUUACAUAAAUGCAACUGAAAAGGAAAGGGUAUUUGUCAUUCUAGCUCCCCCAUUGAUUUUAAUGUCCCAUUAUAACUCCAAAAACUUAAUUAUGAGAAUCUUAAGUUAAAAGUUUACUACAUAAUGUAUACCUACAUUAGCAGAUAUACCUAUGACAUCAUGGUUAAAAUAAUGACAAAAGGAAAGGAGUGGAUAAAUGAGGUAGUUUAUCAAAUGAUUAAAAUUUGUAGGAAACAUUGCAUUAAAACUUUAAGUACUAAGUAUACUGCAUAUGAUCUUUUUCCAGAAACUUUUUUCCUAAUUUCAAUAAAGUAAAUAAUUUGAUGUUGCUAUAAUUAUGUCUGCUAUUAUGUUAAGAGAUAAACAUGUACUAUGCAGGUGUGUGGUGAUCUCAUUAAUGAGAUCAUGCAGUUGGUCAACCAUAUGGUACAAAAGAAGUUAGUCCAAGCUAAUCACAGAAGCAUACUGGUUCAGUGACUAUAAAUCAGUUCAAGUCUGAAACUUGCCUGUUAAAUUAUCCACUUUAUAGAGGACAAGACACAGAAUUCAGAAAUAUAUAAGUGAUCUCAGUACCUCUAUUUUAUAUGUCCCUAAUUUAUAUGUCAUAUUAUAUGAAUAUAUAGCCAGAUAGAUGUAUUGAUAUUGGGCCAAAGUAUUUAACCUAUUGGUUAUGGUUCUCUGAAUGAAUAAAAUUGUACACUAAUAAUUCCACCACUAGCCUAGAAUAGCACAUCUGCACCCAAAGGUGGAAUCAGUAUUAGGCCAUAUCCAAAGAUUUGGCAUGUUGUCUACUUAGUUGAGAAUAUUUAUUGACAGAGAGAUACUACCUCACGAGACCAUCAGCUCCUAGAGUGAACCAUUCUGUAUAUUAUAAAAAUCUUCCCCAGAGUUAUUCUGGGGACA